AAGAAAAGAAAAACACCUUAGCAAAACUAGGAAAAGCUAGCUGGGGAAGGAGGAACACCUGUGUGGUAUCACAGACCUUAAGGAAGAACCCCACAUUGAGGAGAAAGUAUUGGACCUAGGAUCCAAACUGAGGAUACCAGGGAUCCCAGAAGCAAAGGAAGAGAAGAUCCAGAUAAAAAUGAGGAAGGG